rnacentral:tRNA from 1 species
GCCUUUGUGGUGUAGUGGUCAUCACGCUCGGCGCGCAUUCGAGAGGUCCGUGGUUCGAGACCCGACGAGGGCA